AGUUUGCGGAUUACCCACUUCUAAACUGAUAUUGUUCUUAGUAUCUUCUUUGUUAUCAAGUCUUUCUUUUCUUUUGUCUUGAGCAGUAGCAAACAAAUUUUUCUUCUUAGUGUCAUUAUAGCAGAGCUUCUUGAAAUGAAGAGUGCAAUGGCACAAAUGCAAGAGCAAAUGAGGGAGUUAAUGCUUGCGAUGCAUCAACUCAAUUCACCAACACUGGAAAGAACAAGAAUAGCAAAAAGUGGGGAUAUAGAGAUGAU
rnacentral:lncRNA from 1 species